AGAGUUUGAUCAUGGCUCAGAGCGAACGCUGGCGGCGUGCCUAACACAUGCAAGUCGAACGUGAACAGGGGCAACCCUUAGUAAAGUGGCGUACGGGUGAGUAACACGUAGGUAAUCUACCCUAGAGUCUGGAAUAACCUGCCGAAAGGCGGGCUAAUACUGGAUAGAGCGACGAGAUUCGUAAUUGGAUCUUUCGGGAAAGGGAGCUCGUUAAGAGCCCUCGCUUUAGGAUGAGCCUGCGUCCCAUUAGGUAGUUGGCGGGGUAAUGGCCCACCAAGCCUUUGAUGGGUAGCUGGUCUGAGGGGAUGAUCAGCCACACUGGAACUGAAACACGGUCCAGACUCCUACGGGAGGCAGCAGGGGGGAAUCUUGCGAAAUGGACGAAAGUCUGACGCAGCCACGCCGCGUGAGUGAAGAAGGCCUUCGGGUUGUAAAGCUCUGUCGGACGGGACGAAAAUGCCCUGGGUGAAUAGCCCAGGGUACUGACGGUACCGUUAAAGGAAGCACCGGCUAACUUCGUGCCAGCAGCCGCGGUAAUAC
rnacentral:rRNA from 1 species